AAACAAAACAAACUAAAAAAAAACAAUAAUAUAGAGUUCUGAAAUUGGUAUUAUCAUGAAGUUCUCAAUAAUCCAAGAAUACCAUCUUCUAGGAUACUAAAUUAGACUACCAUCUUCUAUUCAAUUCAAAGAUCUAAUGAUUGAACAUGUGCAUGUGCAUAUGUGUAUAUAAAGACAAUAAUAUUAGUAUAACCAUAGUUAGCAUAAUCCCUGAACAUCACUCUCUUUGUAUACUGAAGAGGACCACCAUUUAUAUUCAAUACAAAUAUGUAAUCAGAUUGUAUGUGCAGGGUGUGUGUGCAUGAGAGAGAGAGAUAGAG
rnacentral:misc_RNA from 1 species